AGCGAACGCUGGCGGCAGGCUUAACACAUGCAAGUCGAGCGGGCAUCCUUGUGGUGUCAGCGGCAGACGGGUGAGUAACGCGUGGGAACGUGCCCUUCGGUUCGGAAUAACUCAGGGAAACUUGAGCUAAUACCGGAUACGUUCGAGAGCAGAAAGGUUUAUCUGCCGAAGGAUCGGCCCGCGUCUGAUUAGCUAGUUGGUGAGGUUACGGCUCACCAAGGCGACGAUCAGUAGCUGGUCUGAGAGGAUGAUCAGCCACACUGGGACUGAGACACGGCCCAGACUCCGACGGGGAGCAGCAGUGGGGAAUAUUGGACAAUGGGGGCAACCCUGAUACAGCCAUGCCGCGUGAGUGAUGACGGCCUUAGGGUUGUAAAGCUCUUUUCUCCGGGACGAUAAUGACGGUACCGGAGGAAUAAGCACCGGCUAACUUCGUG
rnacentral:rRNA from 1 species